UACGAAGGGGGCUAGCGUUGCUCGGAAUCACUGGGCGUAAAGCGCACGUAGGCGGACUCUUAAGUCAGAGGUGAAAUCCUGGAGCUCAACUCCAGAACUGCCUUUGAUACUGAGAGCCUUGAGUCCGGAAGAGGUAAGUGGAACUGCGAGUGUAGAGGUGAAAUUCGUAGAUAUUCGCAAGAACACCAGUGGCGAAGGCGGCUUACUGGUCCGGUACUGACGCUGAGGUGCGAAAGCGUGGGGAGCAAACAGG
rnacentral:rRNA from 1 species